rnacentral:rRNA from 1 species
CCCAGACUCCUACGGGAGGCAGCAGUGGGGAAUAUUGCACAAUGGGGGAAACCCUGAUGCAGCGACGCCGCGUGGGUGAAGAAGUAUUUCGGUAUGUAAAGCCCUAUCAGCAGGGAAGAAAGAAGACGGUACCUGACUAAGAAGCCCCGGCUAACUACGUGCCAGCAGCCGCGGUAAUACGUAGGGGGCGAGCGUUAUCCGGAUUCACUGGGUGUAAAGGGAGCGUAGACGGCCGUGCAAGCCAGGAGUGAAAGCCCGGGGCCCAACCCCGGGACUGCUCUUGGAACUGUGCGGCUGGAGUGCGGGAGGGGCAGGCGGAAUUCCUGGUGUAGCGGUGAAAUGCGUAGAUAUCAGGAGGAACACCGGCGGCGAAGGCGGCCUGCUGGACCGCGACUGACGUUGAGGCUCGAAAGCGUGGGGAGCGAACAGGAUUAGAUACCCGCGUAGA